rnacentral:lncRNA from 1 species
GAAAAACUAAGUGAAACUUUAAAUUCUUCUUGCAGAAUAUGCCAGUUGUAGACUCGAACGACAAGACGAACAAUGAAAUUUCAUGCAAUACCAAUCAUGACGCUGUUGACUAUCUAGCAGUUGAGGAAAAACUUGAAGAACCAGCAGUUGAAGAAAAACAUGAAGAACCAACAGUUGAAGAGAAACCUAGAGAACCAGCAGUUACGGAGAAACAUGAAGAACCAGCGAUUGAGGAAAACCCAGCUGUGGAAGAAAAACUUGAAGAACCAGAGGUUGAGGAGAAACAUGAAAAACCAGCAGCUGAAGAGAAACCUAGAGAACUAGUAGUUGAAGAAAAAGCUGAAGAACCAACACCGGAAGAACUAGAAUUUGAAGAGAAACCUGAAGAACCAACUGCUGAAGAAAUACCUGAACAAUUAGUAGUUGAAGAGAAAUCUGAAAAACCAGAGGUUAAAGAGGAGAAGUCUGAAAAGGUAACUCUCUUGGAAAAAGUGAGGAUCAAGCACUAUCACAAAGUUUAUCCAUCCUAUUAGUUCUGUAUGUGCAAAGAUUCGUAUCUACUUAUCAAUUGAAAGAUUAAGUGAAACUUUAAAUUCUUCUUGCAGAAUAUGUCAGUUGUAGAUUUCAAUGAGAAGACUGACAGUGAAAUUCCAUGCAAUACCAACAAUGAUGUUGCCGACUAUGUAUCAGUUGAGGCAAACCUUGAAGAACCGGUAGUUGAAGAAAAACCUGAAGAAACAACGGUUGAGAAGAAACCUGAAGAACCAUCAAUUGAGGAGAAACGUGAAACACCAGCAUUUGAGAAGAAACCUGAAGAACCAAUAAUUGAGGAGAAACCUGAAGAACAAACAAUUGAAGAGGAGAAACAUGAAAGGAUAACUCUCCUGGAAAAGGUGAGGAUCAAGCAUUGUCACAAAGUUUAUCCAUCUUGUUAGUCGUGUAUACGAUACAAUUUACAUAUGCUUACCUACUGAAAGACUAAGUAAGACUUUAAAGUUCUUCUUGCAGAGUAUUCCAGUUGUAGUCCCGAACGACAAAACUGAAAGUAAAACUCCAAGCAUUACAAACAAUAAUGCUGCUCACUUUUCAGAAGUUGAGGAAAACCCUGAAGAACCUGCAGUAAAAGAAAAAACUGAAAAACCAGUUCUUGAAGAGAAACCUGAAGAACCAACAGUUGAAGAGAAAUCUGAAGAACCAGUUGAGGAGAAACCUGAAGAACCAACAGCUGAAGAGAAACCUGAAGAACCAGCAACUAAAGAAAAACAAGUGCUAGUAGGGGAGGAAACAGCUGAAGAACUAGCGCUUGAAGAGAAACCUGAAGAACUAACGAUUGAACAGACAGAUGAAGAACUAGUUGUUGAAGAUAAAACUGAAAAACCACCAAAUAAAGAGGAGAGACCUGAAACGGUAACUCUCCUUUAGCAGUGUCACAGAGUUUAUCCAUCCUAUUAGUUCUAUAUGUGCAACGAAUUCAUAUCUGUUUAUCUAUUGAAAUACUAAGUGAAAAUUCAAAUUUUCUUGCAGAAUUUGCCCAUUGCAGACUCAAAGGACCAGACUGACAAUGCAAUUCCAUGCGAUACCAACAAUGAUAUUGCUGACUAUGCAACAGUUGAGGAAAAACCUGAAGAAACAGUAGUUGAAGAAAAACAUGAAGAACCUGCAAUUGAAAAGAAAUUUGAAGAAUCAACAGUUAUGGAGAAACCUGAAGAACCAGCAGUGGAAGAAAAACCUGAAGAACCAACAGUUAAAGAGGAACCUGAAAAAUCAGUGAUGGAAGAGAAACCUGAAGAACCAAUUGUUGAGGAGAAACUUGAAGAACCAACUGUUGAAGAGAAACCUGAAAAAUCACUGAUUGAAGAAACACCUGAAGAACCAAUAUGGGAAGAAACACCUAAAGAACUAGCAUUUGAAGAGAAACCAGAAGAACCAGCAGUUGAAGAGGAGAAACCUGAAAAGGUAACUCUUUUGGAAGAG